UUUAAGUCCCAAUUUCAACGAUUUUCUUCUAUCUCCUUCUCCUCUUUGUAUUCGGUCUUCUUCCUUAAUAGGAACUCCAUCUCUUCUGUCCUUCUUUCUCUUUAAAUCUACCGAAUCAAAGGAUUUGUGACUAAGGGGUCAACGGCUUUCCUGAGUUUUAAUUCCUUGCUGUGGUUUCUCACUGAGCUCAUUCUCUCUUUGGAUUCUAGUUCAAGGUUUUCGGGUCUGAAGCUUUUCAUCGCGGCCCUUCUUCUCCACAUCACUGAACGUUGUCUCCCCCUUGGAUCUCAAAUUGACAAUGUCUCACAGGCGGUCAUGCGUUCAGAGGGGUCGAUUGGCUUCUCAAUCUGCUACGAGAGGGGUUCCUACAGCCUCAUCACUUGGGGGGAGCACUUUGAAGCUUGAAGAUCAAGGAUUGAAGAUUGAAGAAUUGCCUUCAAAAGGCUAGGACUCUUUUGCAUGGGUUUGUAAUACAUCCUCAGUUGAUUCUUUGAUUGAUUUGCUUGCAUCAAAGUAUUUCAAAUAUCUUGAUAUUCGGAACUUGGAUUUGAUUAUCUUGGAAGUAGAGAGCAACUUGUCAUGAGAUUACAAGCAAACUAAAAUAUUUAAAUAAUUGUUCCCUUCUUUCUUUUCUUUCACCUUUUCCUUUCUUUCAAUUGUGUUUCUUUUUUUCCUUCAUGGAUUACAAGCAAACUGGAAUAUUUAACAGGUCUUUGAGUGUUGACUUAGAAAUGGAAAUGAAUGUAACUAUUUUUAGUCCAUUAAGAUGUUUAUUUAUUUUUUAUUUGAUAUGAUAAUUUU